rnacentral:rRNA from 1 species
AACGAACGCUGGCGGCGUGCCUAACACAUGCAAGUCGAACGAACCCUUCGGGGUUAGUGGCGCACGGGUGCGUAACGCGUGGGAAUCUGCCCUUUGCCUCGGAAUAACAGUUAGAAAUGACUGCUAAUACCGGAUGAUGUCUUCGGACCAAAGAUUUACCGGUAUUGGAUGGGCCGGGGUUGGAUUAGCUAGUUGGGGGGGGAAUGGCCUACCAAGGCGACGAUCCAUUGCUGGUCUGAGAGGAGGAACAGCCACACUGGGACUGAGGACACGGCGCAGACUCCUACGGGAGGCAGCAGUGGGGAAUAUGGGACAAUCGGGGAAAGCCUGAUCCAGCCAUGCCGCGUGAGUGAUGAAGGCCUUAGGGUUGUAAAGCUCUUUUAGUGGGGAAGAUAAUGACGGUACCCACAGAAAAAGCCCCGGCUAACUUCGUGCCAGCCGCCGCAGUAACAC